rnacentral:rRNA from 1 species
GACGAACGCUGGCGGCGUGCUUAACACAUGCAAGUCGAACGGAAAGGCCCUGCUUUUGUGGGGUUCUCAAGUGGCGAACGGGUGAGUAACACGUGAGUAACCUGCCCUUGACUUUGGGAUAACUUCAGGAAACUGGGGCUAAUACCGGAUAGGAGCUCCUGCUGCAUGGUGGGGGUUGGAAAGUUUCGGCGGUUGGGGAUGGACUCGCGGCUUAUCAGCUAGUUGGUGGGGUAAUGGCUUACUAAGGCUUUGACGGGUAGCCGGCCUGAGAUGGUGACCGGCCGCACUGGGACUGAGACACGGUACAGACUCCUACGGGAGGCAGCAGUAGGGAAACUUCCGCAAUGGGCGAAAGCCUGACGGAGCAACGCCGCGUGAGUGAUGAAGGUCUUCGGAUCGGAAAACUCUGUUAUUAGGGAAGAACAAAUGUGUAAGUGACUAUGCGCGUCUUGACGGUAACUAAUCAGAGAGCCACGGCUAACUACGUG